AGAAUCAACGCUGGCGGCGUGCCUAACACAUGCAAGUCGAACGCGAAAGCCCCGCAAGGGGUCAGUAGAGUGGCAAACGGGUGAGUAACACGUGGGUGAUCUGCCUCAGAGUGGGGGAUAACGACCCGAAAGGGUCGCUAAUACCGCAUAACAUCCUGCGCUUGGAUGCGUGGAGAUCAAAGUUGGGGAUUCGCAAGAACCUGACGCUUGGAGAGGAGCCCGCGGCCGAUUAGCUAGUUGGUGAGGUAACGGCUCACCAAGGCAACGAUCGGUA
rnacentral:rRNA from 1 species